rnacentral:rRNA from 1 species
AUACGGAGGGUGCAAGCGUUAUUCGGAAUCACUGGGCGUAAAGGGUGCGUAGGCGGUUUGAUAAGUCUGAUGUGAAAUCCUAUGGCUCUACCAUAGAACCGCAUUGGAAACUGUCAGACUAGAAUACUGAAGGGGCAGAUGGAAUUAGUGGUGUAGGGGUAAAAUCCGUAGAUAUCACUAGGAAUACCGAAAGCGAAAGCGAUCUGCUGGGAAGUUAUUGACGCUGAGGCACGAAAGCGUGGGGAGCAAACGGGAUUAGAUACCCUAGUAGUCC